AUGCCCCCCCCCCUCACGCUACGCAUAUGGAGACACGUGAACGAUCGUCAUCAACAAUUGGCGGGAUAUGAAGAGCCGCCAAUUCAGUUUUGCUUUAAUGUUCAAUAGGCAUGUACACGCGCAACUUUUCCCCGUGUUAUAACGUUUGGCAUUUUUAAAUAAUUUUUAUCAAUUCAAUUUUCGAAUAAUAACUUCGACAGUACUAAUAAUUUUAAUGUCAUAUUUUAAAACCUACCCUACUGCAGUUUAAUAUGAAGCUUAGUAGUAUUGCAGUUUAGUAUUUUUUAAUAUCAAAUCAAUGCCGAACAAAGGAUUAACGUUCUUUUAAAAAACUGGAUUCACAAAGUAUGUUAUAAAUUAUUUAUAAUCAACUUAAUGAAUUCGUGAUCCGAUAAUUGAAAAUCAAUAAUUCCUGCUUCCCCUGGGACAUUUUUGUUUAUGUCUUUCCUUUUCCUUCAAUACUGCCGUGAUUAUAUCUAAGGAUAAUUUCAUUGAAAGACCUGGUCAUAGUUUAAGCAAUUGACGAUAUAAGAAUCUACCUUGUCAACAAACCAAUUUGAUUGACCAUAAUACCAUGAAGUAUUAGAAGAAAAGCUGGCCGUAGUUUAAGCAAUGGACGAUAUAAGAAUCAAAUUUGUUCUAGUCAACAAACCAAUUUGAUUGACUGUAAUACCAUGGAGUAUAAGAAGAAAAGCCGGUCAUAGCUCAAGCAAUUGACGAUAAAGGAAUCUUAUCUUGACUAUAGUCAACAAACCAUUUAGAGAAGAAAAGCUGGUAGGAUUUAUCUUUAUUAUUAUUUAUGAAGUAAAUAUUUCAAAAUUUUUAAUAAAUUUUGUACAUACGCACCACUCUUCAUUCCUGAGAAGAAAAUAUACAUAUCCAGUUGUUCAUUAGUUUAUAUUUUGAAAAUUGAAAUGUGAAUUUUUCAGUAUUGUAUAUAAAUAUAAUACAAUCUUUAAUUUAGUUA